AAAUUAGAGAUUCAUGCCAAAGAAAAGCUUCUAACUUUUCACUUGAGUGGUUUAAUUCCAUUCAUUUC
rnacentral:tRNA from 1 species